UACCGGAUAACCUUCCUUCAUUACACAUAAAUUCAACGUGUAUAUUUAUACAAUGGACCAAAUGGGCCAGUAGACCAAAACAGUCAAACAACAUUCAAUGCUUAAGAUAUCAUGUGGAACACAUAAAUGAUAUUCUACCGGUUGUUCACUCGCUGAAAGCUAAAUAUUACAGGAGUUGAUUCCACAGCCCUGGAAUUGAGAAAAGCCAGGAAAUGACACUGAAAAGAUAAAUGAAACUAUGAGGCAUACUCUCAAAUAUUAUCCAUCACCAAAUGCGUGAGACUUUCUGAAGACCUCAAUUACAACUUUCCAGAGCGCCUAAAAGUCCAGUGACCCCAACCGGGAGCCAGAGUGAUCCUAGACCAUACCGGAGAACCAUACCAGAGAACACCAGGAGAUGCAGACCUCGCCCACCUUUUCUAGGCGAAAAGAAACCACACUGCUAAAGCUGUAAGAGGGGCUCCUUUUCCCCUUUGAUCAGCGCCUCUCGGCAUGUGAAAUCUACCUGCAUUUAGGGCCAAGGCUUCGGUUCAAAAUAAGGGCUAUUUCAGAUGUAUCGCACCCGCCUCUACCCUCCCACAUCUCCCCAUGCUUCCUCCGACUCCUGGGAGAAAAUGGAAGCCAUCAGAGGGACACUUGCUGUUGCUAACCUACCACAUCGACACCCACCCAUCUCCCCACAAGCCCUGUAAG